GCAAGUCGAGCGAGAAAGCCUUCGGGUGAGUACAGCGGCGGACGGGUGAGUAACGCGUAGGAAUCUACCUGGUAGUGGGGGACAACAUGGUGAAAACCAUGCUAAUACCGCAUACGCCCUAUGGGGGAAAGCGGGGGAUCUUCGGACCUCGCGCUAUUGGAUGAGCCUGCGUAGGAUUAGCUUGUUGGUGAGGUAAAAGCUCACCAAGGCGACGAUCCUUAGCUGGUCUGAGAGGAUGAUC
rnacentral:rRNA from 1 species